rfam:Triticum aestivum genome assembly, contig: Triticum_aestivum_CS42_TGACv1_scaffold_289632_4AL
UUCUUACUCCCUUCGUCCGGAAAUACUUGUCGGAGGAAUGAAUAUAUCUAGAUGUAUUUUAGUUCCAGAUAAAUCUAUUUUUAUCCAUUUCUCCGACAAGUAUUUUCAGACGGAGGGAGUACAUA